GGCGGUUCUCAGGUGACGCACCCCGGAAUUGGGUUCCCUCCUCUCUGGUUCCAGUUAUGUCACCCAAGAACGGCA
rfam:Myotis brandtii contig176623, whole genome shotgun sequence.